rnacentral:rRNA from 1 species
AUUGAACGCUGGCGGCAUGCUUUACACAUGCAAGUCGAACGGCAGCGCGGGCUUCGGCCUGGCGGCGAGUGGCGAACGGGUGAGUAAUACAUCGGAACGUGCCCAGUAGUGGGGGAUAGCUCGGCGAAAGCCGGAUUAAUACCGCAUACGACCUGAGGGUGAAAGCGGGGGAUCUUCGGACCUCGCGCUAUUGGAGCGGCCGAUGGCAGAUUAGCUAGUUGGUGGGGUAAAGGCCUACCAAGGCGACGAUCUGUAGCUGGUCUGAGAGGACGACCAGCCACACUGGGACUGAGACACGGCCCAGACUCCUACGGGAGGCGGCAGUGGGGAAUUUUGGACAAUGGGCGAAAGCCUGAUCCAGCAAUGCCGCGUGUGUGAUGAAGGCCUUCGGGUUGUAAAGCACUUUUGGCGGGAACGAAAAGGACUGUGCCAAUACCACGGUUCGAUGACGGUACCCUCAGAAUAAGCACCGGCUAACUACGUG